rnacentral:rRNA from 1 species
GACAGAGGGUGCAAGCGUUGUUCGGAAUUACUGGGCGUAAAGCGCGUGUAGGCUGCUUGGAAAGUCGGAUGUGAAAGCCCUGGGCUCAACCCAGGAAGUGCAUUCGAAACUCCCGAGCUCGAGUACCGGAGAGGAAGGCGGAAUUCUCGGUGUAGAGGUGAAAUUCGUAGAUAUCGAGAGGAACACCUGUAGCGAAGGCGGCCUUCUGGACGGUUACUGACGCUGAGACGUGAAAGCGUGGGGAGCAAACAGG